rnacentral:rRNA from 1 species
CCUACGGGGGGCUGCAGUGGGGAAUAUUGCACAAUGGGCGCAAGCCUGAUGCAGCAAUGCCGCGUGUGUGAAGAAGGCCUUCGGGUUGUAAAGCACUUUCAGCGGGGAGGAAGGCGUUAAGGUUAAUAACCUUGGCGAUUGACGUUACCCGCAGAAGAAGCACCGGCUAACUCCGUGCCAGCAGCCGCGGUAAUACGGAGGGUGCAAGCGUUAAUCGGAAUUACUGGGCGUAAAGCGCACGCAGGCGGUCUGUCAAGUCGGAUGUGAAAUCCCCGGGCUCAACCUGGGAACUGCAUUCGAAACUGGCAGGCUAGAGUCUUGUAGAGGGGGGUAGAAUUCCAUGUGUAGCGGUGAAAUGCGUAGAGAUCUGGAGGAAUACCGGUGGCGAAGGCGGCCCCCUGGACAAAGACUGACGCUCAGGUGCGAAAGCGUGGGGAGCAAACAGGAUUAGAUACCCGGGUAGUC